rnacentral:rRNA from 1 species
GGCGUAACGGCUGGACAGCGAUACUGUCUGCAGUCGACGCACAGCGAAUAUUCUUGCACCUUUCAAGUGAGUGGGUAGGGUGAGUAACACGUGGACAACCUGCCUCAAGGCUGGGGAUAACAUUUGGAAACAGAUGCUAAUACCGAAUAAAACUUAGUGUCGCAUGACAAAAAGUUAAAAGGCGCUUCGGCGUCACCUAGAGAUGGAUCCGCGGUGCAUUAGUUAGUUGGUGGGGUAAAGGCCUACCAAGACAAUGAUGCAUAGCCGAGUUGAGAGACUGAUCGGCCACAUUGGGACUGAGACACGGCCCAUACUCCUACGGGAGGCUGCAGUAGGGAAUCUUCCACAAUGGGCGAAAGCCUGAUGGAGCAACGCCGCGUGUGUGAUGAAGGCUUUCGGGUCGUAAAGCACUGUUGUAUGGGAAGAACAGCUAGAAUAGGAAAUGAUUUUAGUUUGACGGUACCAUACCAGAAAGGGACGGCUAAAUACGUGCCAGCAGCCGCGGUAAUACGUAUGUCCCGAGCGUUAUCCGGAUUUAUUGGGCGUAAAGCGAGCGCAGACGGUUUAUUAAGUCUGAUGUGAAAGCCCGGAGCUCAACUCCGGAAUGGCAUUGGAAACUGGUUAACUUGAGUGCAGUAGAGGUAAGUGGAACUCCAUGUGUAGCGGUGGAAUGCGUAGAUAUAUGGAAGAACACCAGUGGCGAAGGCGGCUUACUGGACUGCAACUGACGUUGAGGCUCGAAGUGUGGGUAGCAAACAGGAUUAGAUACCCUGGUAGUCCACACCGUAAACGAUGACACUAGGUGUUAGGAGGUUCGCCUCUAGUGCCGAAGCUAACGCAUUAAGUGUUCCGCCUGGGGGAGUACGACGCAGGUGAAACCUCAAGGAAUUGACGGGACCGCACAAGCGGGUGGGAAGCAUGGGCUCAUUCGAGCACGCGUAAGAACGUACCAGCCUUGACAUCUUGAGGCUAGAAUGACGUCUCUCUCGGAACAAUGGUUGACAAGAG